rnacentral:lncRNA from 1 species
GACAGUCCCAGGCUGGGCCACCGCCGGCAGACACCAUGCAGCUCCAGGCCUCCUUCUCCUUUUUCCUGAUCCUUACCUUCUGCCAAGAGCUUUGCUCAGAACCAAGACAAGCCAGGAAGUCCUUACCGUCUAUGUGCACACUUCCCAUGGAAAAAGGCGAAUGUCGCGCCAUCUUUGUGAGAUGGUACUAUGACACCAAAACUAAGAAGUGUGACUGGUUCCACUAUGGAGGCUGCAGAGGCAACGAGAACAACUUUCUGAGCAGAAACCAGUGCCAGACAGUCUGCGCAAGCACCUGACUUGUCAAGCCAUCCCAGCCCUCCACCGAGUCAAGCUCCCUAAGGGACCCCCUGAAGGCUUUUGCUUGUGAAUAAAAAGUGCAUUUCUCUAAAUACGUUUCCCUAAGAUUAUGUCUACCGGAAUCAAAUAAAUGUUGUUAUCCUGUUUAAAAA